UGAGGGGCGUGGAUGUCUUUGCAUGG
rnacentral:piRNA from 1 species